CUCUAGCUGUUAUGGUGAGAAACUAUGGACCGGGGCAAAGCAGACGAAAGGUGCCUUGAAUGUGUACGUUCGCCCAGGACGUCACGUACGGUAUAACCCAUGAUGUCACAUCCGUUCAUUUCCAUGGCGUCUGUCUUACGGCACCGGUUGCGCUGUGAAGCGAUCCGUAUUCCGUGCCCACUUCCAGCGUCAAAUUGCAGCCGGCAUCUGGAAUGGGCCGUGGCAUCUCAUAUAGACCUGCUCAUGGAUACAGCUGUUCCCUCAUCCACAGCUAUCAAGGCAUUAUGGCAACUUUGGAAGCUCUCUGAACUGA